rfam:Myotis lucifugus cont2.55493, whole genome shotgun sequence.
GAGACACCCUUAUGGGGCAGGACUUGCUUCAGUGGGGCUUUGGUGCUGAGUCUGCCCCCUGAGUGUGUCUCU